AUGGAGACAGUGGAAGCGGAGAGAACCACCUUGCCUGCCAAUUUCUCCAUGCAAGAAGCAGUAGCAAUGGGGGACGCCGCAAGAGGAGCCGUGCAGCUGCCGUGCGACGUCAACGACGGGAGGUGGGUAUGGGACGAGAGCUACCCGCUCUACGACGGCAGUUCCUGCCCGUUCAUCGACGACGGUUUCAUCUGCCAGGCGAACGGGAGGGCGGACCAGAGCUACACCAAGUGGAGGUGGCAGCCAACGCACUGCAGUGUCCCAAGGUGCUGCAUUACGAGUUUACCAGAGAUUUCAGCACUUAUGUUUUGUACGUAUAUCGUGAACUUUUUUAUUUUAUACUCCUUCUGUUCCUAA
rnacentral:rRNA from 1 species